rnacentral:tRNA from 1 species
GCUCCUGUAGCCUAAUGGAUAAGGGGUUGGCCUCCGGAGCCAAAGAUUGUGGGUUAGAAGUCCUGCCGGGAGCA